CAGCCUUGGCCUGCAAACCUCUCCCCUCCAGCCCUAGCCCCGCCCCGCCCCGCCGGGGCCCACCCUCUCCCAUGUCCCACCUCCCAUCUUCCCCGGGCUAGCCCCCUUUCCCCUUUUCUUUAAUACCUCGGGUUCCUCCCCAGUAACUCAGACCCGCCCCUCAAUGGCUCCGCCUCCUCCUCAUCUUUGCUUUUCCCCAGGAUCCUCCGCUUGCCCCGACCCCACCCUUGUUCCCCGCCCCUUUUUGGUCUCCCCGCCUUUCCCCUGGACCCGCCCCCUCAGAUUCCAGCCUGGCAGAAGCGGUGCCCUGCCCCCUUCCACUACAAGCCCCCUCCCAUCUGAGAGCCUCUCCUCCCCCAUCCCUUCCUCCGCUUGCCUCACCCGGGUGCUCGAGCUCCAGCCCGGAUCCGCUGGCUCUGAUUGGCAGCGGCGGCCCCAGUGGAUGGCAGAGGAGACAAAGUGAGGGCUGCAGGUAGCUUGAGGUCCCACCCGGCCACGUGCGGCUUCUGUGAUGACAGGUCUAGAGGGGCGGAGCCUCGGCCUACUAGGUGCCGGCCACGGCCUACGGGAUCCGGGCGGAGGCGGGGAGCAGGAGCCCCGCCACAGCGCGAGCCUGAGGGCUCUGAGACCGGGUCGGGGCUUCCCCCGAGGCUUUCGCGCUGAUGUGAGGUGCCUGUGGAACUUGAAGCUCUUGGUGGGAGUGUCUGGGCGUAUUUGCCCUUAUGGAGGAGGUCUGUGGGGUUUGCAAGGUAGUGCAAAAAAUCUCAGGGGUCUGUGAAGUUGGGGGGACCUGGGCGGUGGGGUCUCAGGUUUGUGAGGUUGAGCGAUUUCUGCUGCCUACGUUGUGCGAGCGGGUCUAGGUUCUGUGAAAUGGGUAGUGGGAGCCAGAGCUGUACCUGCUGAGAUGGAUCAGCGAGGAAGUCUGUGCAUUUUAAUUUUUUUAAAGUGUUAAUACGGGUUUAAGAGAGCUUUCAAUCGCCGGAGAAAAGCAGGACUUUUACAUAGGUUUCGAAUGAGCUAUGUGACAGUUACAUAUGUUCUGUAAUUUAAUUAGCGCUUGAGUCCUCUCCUCCCCCAGACCCUCCUGGGUCCCGAGGUACAGCAAUAGAGGUCGCUACCUCCCAACUACCCGCAGAUGGCAGCACAGGACCCUUGUAUAACUGAGUGAGCCUAGGUUUAGGGCCAAUUCCGGGCCUCCCGGAGGAGUGGGUGGGAUGGGCGGACCUGAUCAAGGAUGGCUGUAAACUGUAAAUAAACAAGGUCUCUAAAAGUCUCAAGUUCUUUAGAUCUCUGUGACUUUCUGUUAACACUUAGGCUGGUUUACUGAACACCAAUGGUGUGCUAGGCACAAAAAUGAAGGGAAAAAAAAGCACUUUCUCUGCCCUUAAGGCAGAAGCUUAUUGUUUAGUCAUACAAAUAUCUAUAUAAUCCUAUAGAGAGUAAGAAUGAGAGGCCUUUGUGUAGUGGAAAAAGCACAGGACUUGAAGUCAUCUGGGUUGGUCUCCGAACUUUGGCAUUUUCUAGCUGUAUGAAUUUAGGUAAAUUACUUGACUUUUUUCUAAAUAAACUUUUUAUUUUAGAACGGUUUUAGAUUUACAGCAUAAUUGGGAAUAUAGUACAUAGUAUUCCCAUAUACCCCACACCCAGUAUUAUUAACAUCUGACACUGUUGUUGUUAGGUGCCAUGCGGUGGGUUGUGACUCAUAGCAACCCUAUGAGCAACAGAAGGAAACACUCUUGGGUCCUGUGUCAUCCUCACAAUCUUUGUUAUGUUUGAACUGACUGUUGCAGCUACUGUGUCAAUCCAUCUCGGCGAGGGUUUUCCUCUUUAUCACUGACCCUCUUCCUUAUCAAGCAUGAUGUCCUUCUGCAGGGACUAGUCCCUCCUGAUAGCAUGUCCAAAGUACCUGAAAUGAAGUCUCACCAUCCUCGAUUCCAAGCAGCACUCUGGCUGUAUUUCUUCCAAGACAGACUUGUUCGUUCUUCUGGCAGUUGAUGGUAUUUCAAUGUUCUUUGCUAACACCAUAAUUCAAAAGCAUCCAUUCUUCUUUGGUCUUCCUUUAUUCAUUGUCCAGCUUUUGCAUGCAUAUGAGGUGAUUGAAAAUAUCAUGGCUUGAUUAGGUGCACAUUAGUCCUCAAAGGGACAUAUUUGCUUUUUAACACUUUAGACUGACAGACACAUGGUGGCAUCUUACAUUAGUAUGGUUCAUUUGUUACAGUUAAUAACUAAUGUUGAUAUUUUAUCAUUAACUAAAGUCCAUACUUUAUUCAGAUUUCCUAGUUUUUAACUGAUGUCAUUUUUCUGUUUCAGAAUCCCAUCCAGGAUACUAUGUUACCCUUAGUCAUCUUAUCUCACCUUAAGCUCCUCUUCGCUGGGAUUAGACUGGGAUCUGUGUUUUUGGAGAAGGCCCACAGAGGCAAAGUGCCAUUUUCAUCAUAUAUCAAGGAUACAGACUGUCAACCUGACUUUUCACUGCUGAAGUUAGCCCUGAUCACCUGGCUGAGGUCACUGAAAGUCCUCUCUCUCAACUGCCUGCAGCUAAAUCUAAGUAUGAACUCCUUUCAAAUGCUAGGGGACUUUCAAGUAUUGUACUAGGAUAACUAAUGAAGACAGUGGGACACAGAAGCUCUGACUUUCCAUCUCAGUUUUAGUUGGUUCUGAAGAUACCACCUACUUUGCUGAUGAGUGUAACUGGCUCUGGUCAGUACUUUGCAGGCAGAGGACCUUACUGCCUGCUUUCCUUGCACUUUACAUUUUAACUGGGAAACUCAGAUGCCUUGGAGCCUGCAUCACAACUUCAAGACAGUGACUCUUGCUCUACAUAGCCCAUCUUCACCUCCUAGCUGCAUUCACCCCUACUAUCUGCAACGUAAGUUAUAACGAACAUGUAUUUGGCAUUUAACAACAACAACAAAUUGGACAUGUAGUAUGUACAAGGUAAUUGAAAUGCAUUUCAUCAUUUAAACCUCGAAACCAUCUUAUGAAGUAGGUACUAUUAUUACUCCCUGGGAAACUGAGGUCAAGUAACUUGCUCAAGGUCACAGAACCAGAGCUAGGACUCAAAUCUAGGUGUGGUAGAGGGACUUCUAGGAUGGCCCCCAAUGAUGCUUGUUGCAUGGUGGUAUUUACAAUCCUGUGUAAUCCCCUUCUUUUGAGUGUGGACUGGGCCUAGUGACUUGCUUCUGAUGAAUAGGAAACAGUAAAAAUAAUGGAAUGUGAUUAGGUUCCAAAAGACCAUGAUUUCUGUUGUAUGAGUGGACUCUAUUGCCUUCUCAGUGUGGAUGCUUUGAUGAAGCAAGCUGCCAUGAUGGACAAGCCCACAUGGCUUGUUGGGCAAAAAACAGAGGCCAGCCAAUAGACAAUAAGGAACUGAGGCCAUCAGUCCAACAGCCUUAUAGCAACUGAAUCCUGCCAACACUCAGGUCAGUGAGGUUGGAAGUGAAUCCUUCCUCAGUCAAGCUGACACCUUGAAUGCAGCCUGUGAGAGACCCUGACCCACAGAAACUGUGAGAUAAUAAAUGUUGUUUUACCUAAACUAGCACAAACAGUGGUAGAACAACUAAAUAGACCCAUAACAAAAGAAAAGAUUGAAAAGGUAAUCAAAAAACUCCCAACAAAAAAAAGCCCUGGCCCAGACAGCUUCACUGCAGAGUUCUACCAAACUUUCAGAGAAGAGUUAACACCACUACGACUAAAGGUAUUUCAGAGCAUAGAAAAGGACGGAAUACUCCCAAACUCAUUCUAUGAAGCCACCAUAUCCCUGAUACCAAAACCAGGUAAAGACACCACAAAGAAAGAAAAUUACAGACCUAUAUCCCUCAUGAACUUAGAUGGAAAAAUCCUCAACAAAAUUCUAGCCAAUAGAAUUCAACAACAUAUCCAAAAAAUAAUUAACCAUGACCAAGUGGGAUUUAUACCAGGUAUGCAGGGAUGCCUCAACAUUAGAAAAACAAUGUAAUCAAACAUAUAAAUAAAACAAAAGACAAGAAUCACAUGAUUUUAUCCAUUGAUGCAGAAUAAGGCAUUUGAUAAAGUUCAAAGUUCAUGAUAAAAAUUCUCAGCAAAAUAGGAAUAGAAGGAAAAUUCCUCAACAUAAUAAAGGGCAUUUAUACAAAGCCAAUAGCCAACAUCAUCCUAAAUGGAGAGAGUCUGAAAGCAUUCCUCUUGAGAUCGGGAACCAGACAAGGAUGCCCUUUAUCACCACCCUUAUUCAACAUUGUGCUGGAGGUCCUAGCCAGAGAAAUUAGGCGAGAUAAAGAAAUAAAGGACAUCCAGAUUAGCAAGGAAGAAGUAAGUAUCUCUAUUUGCAGAUGACAUGAUCUUAUACACAGAAAAUCCUAAAGAAUCCUCAAGAACACCAUUGAAACUAAUAGAAGAGUUCAGCAGAGUAUCAGCAUACAAGAUAAACAUACAAAAAUCGGUUGGAUUCCUCUACACCAACAAAAAGAACAUCAAAGAGGAAAUCACCAAAUCAAUACCAUUUAUGGUAAACCCCAAGAAGAUAAAAUACCUUGGAAUAAAUCUUACCAGAGAUGUAAAAGACUUAUACAAAGAAAACUACAAAACACUUCUGCAAAAAACCAAAAGAGACCUACAUAAGUGGAAAAACAUACCUUCCUCAUGGAUAGGAAGACUUAACGUUGUAAAAAUGUCUAUUCUACCAAGAGUGAUCUGGAUAUUUAAUGCAAUUCUGAUCCAAAUUCCAAUGACAUUCUUUAAUGAGAUGGAGAAACAAAUCACCAACUUCAUAUGGAAGGGAAAGAGGCCCCAAAUAAGUAAAGCAUUACUGAAAAAGAAGGACAAAGUGGGAGGCCUCACUCUACCUGAUUUUAGAACCUGUUAUAUUGCCACAGUAGUCAAAACAGCCUGGUACUGGUACAACAACAGAUAUGUAGACCAAUGGAACAGAAUUGAGAAUCCAGAUAUAAAUCUAUCCACAUAUGAGCUGUUGAUAUUUGACAAAGGCCCUAAAUCAGUUAAAUGGGGAAAAGACAGUCUUUUUAACAAACGGUGCUGGCAUAACUGGAUAUCCAUCUGCAAAAAAAUGAAACAAGACCCAUAUCUCACACCGUGCACAAAAACGAACUCAAAAUGGAUCAAAGACCUAAAUAUAAAAUCUAAAACGAUGAAGAUCAUGGAAGAAAAAAUAGGGACAACGUUAGGAGCCCUAAUACACGGCAUAAACAGUGUAUAAAAGAUUACUAACAAUGCAGAAGAAAAACUAGAUAACUGGGAGCUCCUAAAAAUCAAACACCUAUGCUCAUCCAAAGACUUCACCAAAAGGGUAAAAAGAUUACCUACAGACUGGGAAAAAGUUUUUAGCUAUGACAUUUCCAAUUAGCACCUGAUCUCUAAAAUCUACAUGAUACUGCAAAACCUCAACUACAAAAAGACAAAUAAUCCAAUUAAAAAAUGGGCAAAAGAUAUGAACAGGCACUUCACUAAAGAAGACAUUCAGGUAGGUAACAGAUAUAUGAGGAAAUGCUCACAAUCGUUAGCCAUUAGAGAAAUGCAAAUCAAAACUACAAUGAGAUUUCAUCUCACUCCAACAAGGCUGGCAUUUAAACCAAAAAACACAAAAUAAUAAGUGUUGUUGAGGUUGUGGAGAGACUGGAACACUUAUACACUGCUGGUGCGAAUGUCAAAUGGUACAACUACUUUGGAAAUUGAUUUGGCGCUUCCUUAAAAAGCUAGAAAUAGAACUUCUAUACUAUCCAGCAAUCCCCCUCCUUGGAAUACAUCCUAGGGAAAUAAGAGUCUUUACACGAACAGAUAUAUGCACACCCAUGCUCAUUGCAGCACUGUUUACAAUAGCAAAAAGACGGAAGCAACCAAGGUGCCCAUCAACAGAUGAAUGGACAAAUUAUGGUAUAUUCACACAAUGGAAUACCACGCAUCGAUAAAGAACAGUGGUGAAUCUGUGACGCAUUUCAUAAAUGGAGGAAUCUGGGAAGGCAUUAUGCUAAGUGAAAUUAGUCAGUUGCAAAAGGACAAAUAUUGCAUAAGACCACUAUUGUAAGAACUUGAGAAAUAGUUUAAACAGAGAAGAAAAUAUUCUUUGAUGGUUAA